AUUGAACGCUGGCGGCAGGCCUAACACAUGCAAGUCGAACGAGUGGCGGACGGGUGAGUAAUGUCUGGGAAACUGCCUGAUGGAGGGGGAUAACUACUGGAAACGGUAGCUAAUACCGCAUACCAUCAGAUGUGCCCAGAUGGGAUUAGCUAGUUGGUGGGGUAACGGCGCACCAAGGCGACGAUCCCUAGCUGGUCUGAGAGGAUGACCAGCCACACUGGAACGUAGACACGGUCCAGACUCCUAGGGGGGGCAGCAGGGGGGAAGAUUGCGAAAUGGGCGAAAGCCUGAUGCAGCCAUGCCGCGUGUAUGAAGAAGGCCUUCGGGUCGUAAAGUACUUUCAGCGGGGAGGCGUUACCCGCAGAAGAAGCACCGGCUAACUCCGUGCCAGCAGCCGCGGUAAUUC
rnacentral:rRNA from 1 species